rnacentral:lncRNA from 1 species
UUUGCAUAUACUUACAUCAAUGUAGAAAUAUAAGUAUUUUUGACAUGAACAUUCACUUUUCCAUCCAAACUAAGGAAUGUGUGAUUAAUGUAUUUAUCUACUACCUAGCAUGUAGAAUGAUAAAAUGUUUUCACAAAUGUAUAUUGUAUAACUGUAUGUCGGUAAGUGAAUGUGGUCUUUUAAAAAUAUUAUUUCAAGUAAACCUUAUCGGCCCUUCAAAUCAGUAAUCAGAGGAUCAAAGCUUUCUGAAGUAUGAGUGUGUGUGCGAAUGAGUGUGUGUGUGUGAGGGAGUGCGUGUGUGUGGGUGUAUGAGUGAGAAGUGCAGAGAGAGAGAGAAAGAAAGAAAAAAAAACCCACACAUAUUAUCUAUCGUGAUCUUUAUAUAUCUAUUCUGCCACACUGCUCAUUGCUAUCACAACCUAACCUCAACAGCAAUAACAACAGAGGAAUCAAUGACGACUGGCCUUGUGUUCACGGUAAACAUGUUGUGUUCACACCAGUAAUAAACACAUACCAGCAGGCGGUGUGUGUGUGGUAGUUCAAACUAGGUCGGGUCACCAUGCAGGUCAGGGUCGCAUGUUUCCUGCUGCUGAUGAGUUUGCAGUUCUGAUACAAACUUUCAUCUCAGCAGCCUCCCGAAUCCGGUUAACAUCCAUUAGAGAUCGGGUGACCGCUAAAUGGUUGUUAAAUUAUUAUUUUAUAAUUAUUUAGCUGUCUGCUUGAUAGUCGUAUUGUCAGGGUGCUUGUGCGAGUCUCCACGUAUACAUCCGGACAUUUCCACUUUCUUUCAUUCCACACAAACUACAUCUAGCAGGCCCUGUCCACUUUUAUUAUACACCCACUCCUUAAACACUGUUCAUGUGUGUGUGGAGGAGACACAAGACACUCCAUGUUUGUUAUCGAGACCAUUCCAAAAGACUUCGGAUUCCAGAAUAUCCUCCACACGGCAAUGGACACCUGGGAAAGUUAUUACAACAGAAUCAGUCCUCACCUGCAGUUUCAGUCCUGGUGAACACACCUACGAGUCUUCAAACUCUGAAGCCGGAAGCAUCACGUGUGUGGACAAAGUCAUUCGAGAACCUAUGUCCUCUGAACUCCAACAUCAAACGUUGACCCUACAGGUGACCCUUCACUCAACUCGUGACCAAAGGGAGGUUGCUGUUCUGUGGGCUAAUGAAGUCUGUUGCAAGAUCCACUUCUGCUGCCACCUUAGUUGUAAGUAUUUAAUUAAACAGUAGGUUUUUUUUUUUCGAAAACCCGAUUCCAAACAAUUUAGCUUUUCCCCCAAAAGAUGGUUCUCCGGAAAUGGAGCAAACACAUAAAAGUCAUAAUUAUCACACCCUGCAACCUAACCGGAUGAUUUUUUUCAGGAUGCUAGUAAUACAAGCCCUUCUACAAAUACAAGCCCGAGUUAAGAUUGUCAGCAGACAAUAAUGAUAUUAAUAUAUAAACAAACAUUAUUAGCCAUGACGAUGUUACAGAAGAAGAUGAAGUAGUUUAUUAGAAUAAAUGUAAAUUUUUUGUACGUGAAAAAAUAAAACAUCCCCUGAAGAUAAGCCUAACGGAUCUUCUGGAGUAAAAAUUACUAUCAGACCCGGUUUUAUUUUCGGGUAAACACAGUAGCAAGGCACAGUCCCCCUCACCCAUCUCCUCCUACCCAUCCACUCCAACAUUCACCUUGACGACCUCCGUCUCAACGGAAAGUGUAAAAUUUAGCCGUUGUUCAAAUUUUAUAAACUCAACUUCAUUCUACAUCUUUCUUUUGAAACCUAAGAAUAGUUUUUUCUCACUCUCUCCGUCUCCCCGUCCCGCAAUGUGACCUGACCUGACCUGUCUGUGCUCCUACCAUGCCGACACUGCCAACAUUUGCAUCUGAAACAGUCUCGCCAUGUCACCGUGGCAAGCAUCAGACAGAGCUAAUGUGCCCCCUAAAAAAAGAAAAUCAUGGGUGAAAGUCGUCAAGUAGGUGGCAAUAAAUAAAUAUCUCAACAGAGAAAGAUACAGACAGAAAUACACAGAGAUACAGAGACAGGGAGAGAAUCAAGAUGGUGAUAACUCAUUCAACUGGAGGCGAACUUGGUAAAUAAACUUAGUUAACUAACCUUUAAAUUUGUUGCUGAUAUACCCUGUAUUAGGAGGAAAGAUUACAGACAUUUUUUGCCUAAACAUUAACAUGAAACGGAGAAUUUAUAACAUUUUGUACCCCAGCCAAAGCCAGACUCACCCAGCUUUUCACCCCCCCCCCCACUGA